rnacentral:misc_RNA from 1 species
GAAAUGCGAUAAGUAAUGUGAAUUGCAGAAUUCCGUGAAUCAUCGAAUCUUUGAACGCACAUUGCGCCCUCUGGUAUUCCGGGGGGCAUGCCUGUCCGAGCGUCAUUGCAACCCCCUCAAGCCCGGCUUGUGUGUUGGGCCUCUUCUUUGAAACUGUCCCCCUCAGUGGACAGGCCCGAAAAGCAGUGGCGGUAUCGUGUUCCGGUGCCCGAGUGUAUGGGAAUGAAUUGACGGCGUCCUCCGUUUACGGAAAAAGGGCCCUGUUGAAGAUCAGACCUGCUCGCAAGGCCCGGCCGGUGCCUCGCCUCCGGGAGUUCGUCCGCUUCCCGAGCGGCGUGAACGGCCUUCAUUAUUCUUUCGUGGUUGACCUCGGAUCAGGUAGGGAUACCCGCUGAACUUA